rnacentral:rRNA from 1 species
GAUGAACGCUGGCGGCGUGCCUAAUACAUGCAAGUCGAGCGAACGGACGAGAAGCUUGCUUCUCUGAUGUUAGCGGCGGACGGGUGAGUAACACGUGGAUAACCUACCUAUAAGACUGGGAUAACUUCGGGAAACCGGAGCUAAUACCGGAUAAUAUUUUGAACCGCAUGGUUCAAAAGUGAAAGACGGUCUUGCUGUCACUUAUAGAUGGAUCCGCGCUGCAUUAGCUAGUUGGUAAGGUAACGGCUUACCAAGGCAACGAUGCAUAGCCGACCUGAGAGGGUGAUCGGCCACACUGGAACUGAGACACGGUCCAGACUCCUACGGGAGGCAGCAGUAGGGAAUCUUCCGCAAUGGGCGAAAGCCUGACGGAGCAACGCCGCGUGAGUGAUGAAGGUCUUCGGAUCGUAAAACUCUGUUAUUAGGGAAGAACAUAUGUGUAAGUAACUGUGCACAUCUUGACGGUACCUAAUCAGAAAGCCACGGCUAACUACGUGCCAGCAGCCGCGGUAAUACGUAGGUGGCAAGCGUUAUCCGGAAUUAUUGGGCGUAAAGCGCGCGUAGGCGGUUUUUUAAGUCUGAUGUGAAAGCCCACGGCUCAACCGUGGAGGGUCAUUGGAAACUGGAAAACUUGAGUGCAGAAGAGGAAAGUGGAAUUCCAUGUGUAGCGGUGAAAUGCGCAGAGAUAUGGAGGAACACCAGUGGCGAAGGCGACUUUCUGGUCUGUAACUGACGCUGAUGUGCGAAAGCGUGGGGAUCAAACAGGAUUAGGUACCCUGGUAGUCCACGCCGUAAACGAUGAGUGCUAAGUGUUAGGGGGUUUCCGCCCCUUAGUGCUGCAGCUAACGCAUUAAGCACUCCGCCUGGGGAGUACGACCGCAAGGUUGAAACUCAAAGGAAUUGACGGGGACCCGCACAAGCGGUGGAGCAUGUGGUUUAAUUCGAAGCAACGCGAAGAACCUUACCAAAUCUUGACAUCCUUUGACAACUCUAGAGAUAGAGCCUUCCCCUUCGGGGGACAAAGUGACAGGUGGUGCAUGGUUGUCGUCAGCUCGUGUCGUGAGAUGUUGGGUUAAGUCCCGCAACGAGCGCAACCCUUAAGCUUAGUUGCCAUCAUUAAGUUGGGCACUCUAAGUUGACUGCCGGUGACAAACCGGAGGAAGGUGGGGAUGACGUCAAAUCAUCGUGCCCCUUAUGAUUUGGGCUACACACGUGCUACAAUGGACAAUACAAAGGGCAGCGAAACCGCGAGGUCAAGCAAAUCCCAUAAAGUUGUUCUCAGUUCGGAUUGUAGUCUGCAACUCGACUACAUGAAGCUGGAAUCGCUAGUAAUCGUAGAUCAGCAUGCUACGGUGAAUACGUUCCCGGGUCU